rnacentral:rRNA from 1 species
GGACUACAAGGGUAUCUAAUCCUGUUCGCUCCCCUGGCUUUCGCGCCUCAGCGUCAGAUACCAGCCAGGACACUGCCUUCGCCUUUGGUCUUCCUCCGGAUCUCUACGCAUUUCACCACUCCACCCGGAAUUCGAUGUCCCUCUCUGGUCCUCAAGUUCAGCCGUCUUUGAAGGCCUUGGUCAGUUGAGCCGACCACUGUCACUCCAAACGCGCUGUACCGCCUGCACGCCCUUUACGCCCAGUAACUCCGGACAACGCUCGCCCCCUACGUAUUACCGCGGCUGCUGGCAC